GACGUAGGGUGCGAGCGUUGUCCGGAAUUAUUGGGCGUAAAGGGCUCGUAGGCGGUCUGUUGCGUCGGGAGUGAAAACUCAGGGCUUAACCCUGAGCCUGCUUCCGAUACGGGCAGACUAGAGGUAUGCAGGGGAGAACGGAAUUCCUGGUGUAGCGGUGAAAUGCGCAGAUAUCAGGAGGAACACCGGUGGCGAAGGCGGUUCUCUGGGCAUUACCUGACGCUGAGGAGCGAAAGUGUGGGGAGCGAACAGG
rnacentral:rRNA from 1 species